rnacentral:rRNA from 1 species
UCCAACCUGCCGAUGACUCGGGGAUAGCCUUUCGAAAGAAAGAUUAAUACCCGAUGGCAUAAUUCUUCCGCAUGGUAGAACUAUUAAAGAAUUUCGGUCGUCGAUGGGGAUGCGUUCCAUUAGGUUGUUGGCGGGGUAACGGCCCACCAAGCCUUCGAUGGAUAGGGGUUCUGAGAGGAAGGUCCCCCACAUUGGAACUGAGACACGGUCCAAACUCCUACGGGAGGCAGCAGUGAGGAAUAUUGGUCAAUGGACGAGAGUCUGAACCAGCCAAGUAGCGUGAAGGAUGACUGCCCUAUGGGUUGUAAACUUCUUUUAUACGGGAAUAAAGUGAGGCACGUGUGCCUUUUUGUAUGUACCGUAUGAAUAAGGAUCGGCUAACUCCGUGCCAGCAGCCGCGGUAAUACGGAGGAUCCGAGCGUUAUCCGGAUUUAUUGGGUUUAAAGGGAGCGUAGGCGGACGCUUAAGUCAGUUGUGAAAGUUUGCGGCUCAACCGUAAAAUUGCAGUUGAUACUGGGUGUCUUGAGUACAGUAGAGGCAGGCGGAAUUCGUGGUGUAGCGGUGAAAUGCUUAGAUAUCACGAAGAACUCCGAUUGCGAAGGCAGCUUGCUGGACUGUAACUGACGCUGAUGCUCGAAAGUGUGGGUAUCAAACAGGAUUAGAUACCCUGGUAGUCCACACAGUAAACGAUGAAUCACUCGCUGUUUGCGAUAUACAGUAAGCGGCCAAGCGAAAGCGUUAAGUAUUCCACCUGGGGAG